rnacentral:antisense_RNA from 1 species
CUUGAUGGUAGCUGUGCGCAUGGCGUCCUCGGGCGCGCCGGUUUUUGCUUACCCUUGCCGGUCUACUAACUUGCGCACAGCUGCCACCCUU